GAAAGCGAAUCCCACGACCCUCGCCACGCCGCUCCCGCAGCCUCGCCCCCGCGCCUCCCCAACCGCCUAGCCUCCGCCGCCUCCACGCCGCUCCCGCAGCCUCGCCCCCGCACCUCCCCAACCGCCCAGCCUCCGCCGCCUCCGCCGCACCACGCCUCCACCCGCUGCCCGCCGCUCCUCCUCUGCUGCCAGAUGGGCGCGAGCGCGGAUCGCCGUCGCCGCUGCCCGCUCCUCUUCUACUGCUCCACGAGCGCGGAUUUCAGUCGCCGCCAUCCGCUCCUCUUCUACUGCCCCACGAGCGCGGAUUUCAGUCGCCGCCAUCUGCUCCUACUCUACUGCCCCAUGGACGCGAGCAUGGGCCGCUGUCGCCGCCUACCGCUCUCCUCUGCUGCCCCAUGGACGCGGGCAUGGGCCGCCGUCGCCGCCUACUGUUCUCCUCUGCUUGCCCACGGAUGCCAGCGAGGGUCUCCGUGGCCGCCAUCCACUUCACUUCUACCGCCCCACUAACACAAGCGCGGGCCGCCGUGGCCGCCUGCCACUCUCCUCUGCUGACCCACAGAUAUGAGCACGGGCCGCCGCCGCCGCCACCCGCCGCUGCCACGUUGAAGAAGAGUCACCAAGCCGGCGAACUUUGAUCAGUAUUGCAUCAUUGCCUGUUCAAGCAUUAGCAAGUACAGUCAAUGAGGAAAAUCUACCGGAUCUGAAGUACCAAUUCGAUACAAUUGAUGUUGAUAAGUGGACCAAUUACUGUAUUGAAGAAAUACAGCAUUGGCCCUUGUGAAGGAUCUUCACACUAAAGGCUCCUCAUGUUCUCAAGAUUAUUCAAGCAAGCAAGCAAUAUACUGUAUCUCUCAAGCAAUUUACUCAUACGUGUGAUUGGAAAGACGACAACCAUUUGUUCUACGACACUACUAUCUGACAGGUUCUUAACUCAUCAGGCCGGGCUACUGAGUAUACAUAUUG